rnacentral:rRNA from 1 species
GCAUAUCAAUAAGCGGAGGAAAAGAAACUAACAAGGAUUCCCCUAGUAACUGCGAGUGAAGCGGGAAAAGCUCAAAUUUAAAAUCUGGCAGCCUGAGGUUGUCCGAAUUGUAAUCUAGAGAAGUGUUACCCGCGCUGGACCAUGUACAAGUCUUCUGGAAUGAAGCAUCAUAGAGGGUGAGAAUCCCGUCUUUGACAUGGACUACCAGUGCUUUUGUGGUAUGCUCUCAAAGAGUCGAGUUGUUUGGGAAUGCAGCUCAAAAUGGGUGGUAAAUGCCAUCUAAAGCUAAAUAUUGGCGAGAGACCGAUAGUGAACAAGUACCGUGAGGGAAAGAUGAAAAGAACUUUGGAAAGAGAGUUAAACAGUACGUGAAAUUGCUGAAAGGGAAACGCUUGAAGUCAGUCACAUUGACUAGAAAUCAACCCUGCUUUUGUUGGGUGUAUUUUCUUGUUUAAUGGGUCAGCAUCAAUUUUGACCAUUGGAUAAAGUUAUUGGGAAUGUGGCAUCUUCGGAUGUGUUAUAGCCUAAUGAUGCAUACAGUGGUUGGGAUUGAGGAACUCAGCACGCUGCAAAGCCGGGUUUUUAACCACGUUCGUGCUUAGGAUGCUGGCAUAAUGGCUUUAAUCGACCCGUCUUGAAACACGGACCAAGGAGUCUAACAUACUUGCAAGUGUUUGGGUGGAAAACCCAUGCGCGUAAUGAAAGUGAAAGUUGAGAUCCUUAUGGGGAGCAUCGACGCCCAGACCAGACCUUUUGUGACGGAUCUGCGGUAGAGCAUGUAUGUUGGGACCCGAAAGAUGGUGAACUAUGCCUGAAUAGGGUGAAGCCAGAGGAAACUCUGGUGGAGGCUCGUAGCGAUUCUGACGUGCAAAUCGAUCGUCAAAUUUGGGUAUAGGGGCGAAAGACUAAUCGAACCAUCUAGUAGCUGGUUCCUGCCG